AGUGCGAACCACUACACCACCGUGCAGCCUAACUUUUUGUUGUUUUGUUAUUUGUUUUUGUUUUUUUCAAAAGAGAAACUAACCGGAUGAAGAAGAAGUCCGCCCAGAGGCGCACGAAGGCCGGCAGCGGCCCCAGCGUCUCCAGCAGAUAAUCCCUUCCUUCAUCACCCUGUAAAGUCUCUCACCAAACAACGAGAGGACGCCGCACAGUGCCCACACCAGCAGGGAGAGCCCCACGCUCCCGCUGUUGAGCAGGACCCCCUUGGGCGCGAUGAAGAUGCCGCUGCCCACCACCGUCCCGAUGAUGAAGGACAUGCCCGACAGCAGGCCGAUCUCCCUCCGCAGCACCCUACACUAAAAAAAAGGAAAAGCGCUGGACGGGCGAUGCAUUCACUGUACCCCGACAUCAUGUGUGCUGUAUCUACCCUAAUCAGAGCACCGACCACAGCCACGGCAUCGGACAGCAGCAGCUCGGCAGGCAUCAUCAUGGUGUAGUAGGCCACGUUGACCAGCACGUACAGGACCGUCACUGUUACCAUGGAGAAGACUACUGCCAGCGGGAUG